rnacentral:rRNA from 1 species
UACGAAGGGUGCAAGCGUUAGUCGGAAUUACUGGGCGUAAAGCGUGCGUAGGUGGUUUCUUAAGUCGGAUGUGAAAGCCCUGGGCUCAACCUGGGAAUGGCACUCGAUACUGGGAAGCUAGAGUGCGGUAGAGGAGGGUGGAAUUCCCGGUGUAGCGGUGAAAUGCGUAGAGAUCGGGAGGAACAUCAGUGGCGAAGGCGGGUCUCUGGGCCGAUACUGACGCUGAGGAGCGAAAGCGUGGGGAGCGAACAGG